UUUCUGUCUUUUCUCCUGUCAUCCAGAUGUUCAGAGGGAGAUGAUGCCACAUCUGGUCCAGCUGAUGGAAGGUCUUGAAGUUCUCUGACUGGCCUCGACUGAAGAUGGUCGUCUCACUGGAUUUAAGAUGCACAAUGAGGGACGUCUGCAGAGACUGAGAAAGAGUCUCACCACAUCCUGACAUGAGGAAAAAGACUUUAUUGAAGACUACAAUGAGAAAAACUAUCAGACAGCAGACGGCUGCAUUCAAGUCUGUAGCUGCUGAAUUCAUGGAUGAACCAUCUGGCACUAGAGAGGAAGACCAUCAAACAUCCACAUCAGCUGAUGGAGGUCCAAGAGUCUCACCAAACAAACAACCUACAGAGUGAAGACCUCAAAUCUGAUUGGAUGGCCUCCUAUUCAGCCACGUGUGAACAAAUGCCUCUAAGUUGAUUUGUUUUCUAAAAUAAAUCUAGUUUGAGUCCUAAUCUAUGCCUGUGUGUUUGCUUCUUUACACCGCUGUUAACAGUUUAGGCUGUUAGAUUGUUCCAGAUAAGACAAGUACAAGAUUCUUCAGAGCCGUUCUACCACGAGCCUGACAGGAAGAACUCCAACAGCUACUGAAUGUUCCUGUGGUUCCCUCAAGGCUACAGGAGGAGCCCUACGAGGACAAGAAGGUCCACCUGAUG
ensembl:lncRNA